rnacentral:rRNA from 1 species
AUACGUAGGGGGCGAGCGUUGUCCGGAAUGAUUGGGCGUAAAGGGCGCGUAGGCGGCCCGGUAAGUCUGGAGUGAAAGUCCUGUUUUUAAGAUGGGAAUUGCUUUGGAUACUGUCGGGCUUGAGUGCAGGAGAGGUAAGUGGAAUUCCCAGUGUAGCGGUGAAAUGCGUAGAGAUCGGGAGGAACACCAGUGGCGAAGGCGGGUAACUGGACUGCAACUGACGCUGAGGCGCGAAAGUGUGGGGAGCAAACAGGAUUAGAUACCCUGGUAGUCCACACUGUAAACGAUGAAUGCUAGGUGUAAGAGGUAUCGACCCCUUUUGUGCCGGAGUCAACACAAUAAGCAUUCCGCCUGGGGAGUACGGCCGCAAGGUUGAAACUCAAAUGAAUUGACGG